CAACCCCGCGGUCGUCUCCGCUCGGCCAGUGGCGACAGCGUUGGCCGAGGGAGAAGACGGCGGCGUGCACGUCCCGGUGUGUCGGUGUUGACGGCAAGCGGUGUCCUGCCCGUGUGUUGUUUGUGGCGUGAACACACCGACCUGGCCGCGGCAUUACUCUGAGGAGACUGUGUAAGGCAAGGUGGGGAGCUCAUCUGGAAGGAAGGCUGCACAAGGUGAUCUUCAGCUGUAGAGUAUGCUGGACGACAGGCAUAUACAGGUACAAUGAGGUGCACUUUGGACCUGCCAGUGAGCUACCUGGAGUGAAGAGUCGCUUGCCUGCAAGGAGAGAUGCCUUGCUUUCAAGUGGGGGGACAGACACUGUCUGUUGAGGAAGAGAUGAUUGUUAGCUUGGAAAAAAAAAAUUGUAGGUACUCAAAAAUUAAUGUAACUAUUUUCCGAGUCAUCAUGAGUGGACAUAACAUAGACUAAAGGUUGUAGGAAAGUCCAUUUUUUCUAGUUUGCACAGGGAGAGGCAGACUACAUAUCCCAGGAAGAACAAAAAAUUAGUUACAAGAGAAAAGCUACACUGAAUACAAGGUUGCAUUUCCCUUGCAACUUUUUCUUGUUCUCCCUGGGACAUAGUCAGUGGCCCAUCCAGGAGGGCAUCCGCCCACCCCCUUAGGACCUAAAUUGCGCCCUUUCAAAGAUUCACCGAGAUCUGCUGGGGGUAUCAUUCUUGUGAACACUACUACUAGCCUACUAAUUAUAAUGAUAAUAACAGUACUACUACUACUACUGUGGUAUGUGGUAUGGUAUGGCGCUCAUCUUGUAUAUCAGCCCCCCCUUCACCUGGAGCUGGAUCCGUCACUGGAUGAUGUAGUGGCUGCCUUUCCAAGGGCAAAUUAGAAAAAAUGGACUCUCCUCCUGAAGCCUAAUGAUAGAAAACUUUGAUGUUUGUUCACAUUUGUCAUGUCUUGCAUUAUGUGAGUUAACAUGGUUGCUGUCAGGGCAAUGUGCCAAGGAUACAAGAUCACUGUCUUUCUUUCCCAAAGAUUCCAGGAGUCUCUGAAUUCUGUAGUGAAGGAUGACGUGGGUUGAGGUAACAACACAAAUAAUGAGAGGAGGUUUAUCAUCACUUAGGGCUCACGUUAACAAGAGGGAAUACAGGAAGAAAUGAUCCAAUGAAGCACUCAGUCCCUGCAGCGCUUCUCACGUCACCAGUUCUCAGGAAACCUCCCAUGACAUGUAGGGAGGCACAGCAUCUCACAGGAACAACUCGAUGAAGGGUAGUGACGGCACUUUCUUGCAGAGGAACCUGUGAUGACCAACCAGGGUGGAGAGAACUCCUGGGCUUUCUCUAAUCAAGCCAUCUCUCCACCCUGGUUGGUCAUCACAGGUUCCACUACAGCAAUGUACUGUUGCUACCCUCCACCUGGUCACUCCCGUGAAAUGCUGUGCCUCCCUAAGUGUCACAGGAGGGUUCUGAAGAACUAGCGACGUGAGCUGCGCUGCAGUGUCCAAGGUAUGCUUUAUUGGAUCAUUCCUUUGUGUACUCCCUUUUGUUAAUAUGAGCCCAGAGUGACAGUAAAAGUAUUCUUUGUGUCCUGCUUCAGUAACAGUGCCCUCCACUAUACUACAGUUCAGGUGCUCCCGGAAUCUUUGAGGGAGGAGGGCAGUGGUGUCCUGCACUCUCCUCUUCUUGACACAGUGCCAAAAUUAAAUGUCUAGUUUUUGCUUUUGUUACCUCACAGGGCUCUACUUAUGCCAUACGGUUGAGGAAUUAACAUUGGAAGAAUUUUUUACUUCACUUUCUGGUUGUAAGUCAAUAAAUACACUUUUGUAAGACU